rnacentral:rRNA from 1 species
GAUGAACGCUAGCGGGAGGCCUAACACAUGCAAGCCGAGCGGUAGAGUUUCUUCGGAAACUUGAGAGCGGCGCACGGGUGCGUAACACGUGUGCAACCUACCUUUAUCUGGGGGAUAGCCUUUCGAAAGGAAGAUUAAUACCCCAUAAUAUAAUGAUUGGCAUCAAUUAUUAUUGAAAACUCCGGUGGAUAGAGAUGGGCACGCGCAAGAUUAGAUAGUUGGUGAGGUAACGGCUCACCAAGUCAAUGAUCUUUAGGGGUCCUGAGAGGGAGAUCCCCCACACUGGUACUGAGACACGGACCAGACUCCUACGGGAGGCAGCAGUGAGGAAUAUUGGACAAUGGGUGAGAGCCUGAUCCAGCCAUCCCGCGUGAAGGAUAACGGCCCUAUGGAUUGUAAACUUCUUUUGUACAGGGAUAAACCUACCCUCGUGAGGGUAGCUGAAGGUACUGUACGAAUAAGCACCGGCUAACUCCGUG